rnacentral:rRNA from 1 species
UGAGUAACCUGCCCUUAACUCUGGGAUAAGCCUGGGAAACUGGGUCUAAUACCGGAUAUGACUCCUCAUCGCAUGGUGGGGGGUGGAAAGCUUUAUUGUGGUUUUGGAUGGAUUCGCGGCCUAUCAGCUUGUUGGUGAGGUAAUGGCUCACCAAGGCGACGACGGGUAGCCGGCCUGAGAGGGUGACCGGCCACACUGGGACUGAGACACGGCCCAGACUCCUACGGGAGGCAG